CUGAGUAGUAUUCCACGGUGUAUCCUCAACGGGCUUUACCGGGAUGUUUUUUUAUAUUGUAAUUACUAGGAGUUAAUAGUGGCCCGUAUAGCAGGUAUUAAUAUUCCUGAU
rfam:Candidatus Photodesmus blepharus strain Ppalp.1 contig9, whole genome shotgun sequence.